GUGGGGAAUAUUGGACAAUGGGGGGAACCCUGAUCCAGCCAUGCCGCGUGUGUGAAGAAGGCCUUUUGGUUGUAAAGCACUUUAAGUGGGGAGGAGGCUUACCUGGUUAAUACCUGGGCUAAGUGGACGUUACCCACAGAAUAAGCACCGGCUAACUCUGUGCCAGCAGCCGCGGUAAUACAGAGGGUGCAAGCGUUAAUCGGAUUUACUGGGCGUAAAGCGCGCGUAGGUGGUUAAUUAAGUCAAAUGUGAAAUCCCCGAGCUUAACUUGGGAAUUGCAUUCGAUACUGGUUGGCUAGAGUAUGGGAGAGGAUGGUAGAAUUCCAGGUGUAGCGGUGAAAUGCGUAGAGAUCUGGAGGAAUACCGAUGGCGAAGGCAGCCAUCUGGCCUAAUACUGACACUGAGGUGCGAAAGCAUGGGGAGCAAACAGGAUUAGAAACCCUUGUAGUCC
rnacentral:rRNA from 1 species